rnacentral:misc_RNA from 1 species
UUUCCGUAGGUGAACCUGCGGAAGGAUCAUUAGGAGAGGCGAUGCUUGUUCCACGCACGCUCCUUCUCGAGGCUUGCUGGGCUGCGCCCAGUAACUCGAGAUGGGCGCAAAAGCAUGAUUCACACUUACACUUACACUUACAAAUACACAUGAGCACCUUGCUGCAAUGGAUCUCUCGGCUCUU